AGUGAACGCUGGCGGUAGGCCUAACACAUGCAAGUCGAACGAAAACACAGUAAGAUUUUGCCCUUACGGUUGGCGAGUGGCGGACGGGUGAGGCAUACAUCGGAAUCUACUUUUUCGUGGGGGAUAACGGAGGGCAACUUACGCUAAUACCGCAUACGACCUACGGCUGAAAGCAGGGGAUCUUCGGGCCUUGGCCGAUACAAUUAGCCGAUGUCGGAUUAGAUAGUUGGCGGGGUAAAGGCCCACCAAGGCAACGAUCCGUAGCUGGUCUGAGAGGAUGAUCGGCCACACUGGAACUGAGACACGGUCCAGACUCCUACGGGAGGCAGCAGUGGGGAAUAUUGGACAAUGGGCGAAGGCCUGACCCAGCAAUACCGCGUGAGUGAAGAAGGCCUUCGGAUUGUAAAGCCCUGUUGUUAGGAAAGAAAAGCUGUGGGAGAAUCUACGGACGUUCUGACGGUACCUAAAGAGAAAGCACCGGCUAACUUCGUG
rnacentral:rRNA from 1 species